rnacentral:rRNA from 1 species
UUUAAAUGUAAAAUAAAUAUACUAAAGGAGUAUUAGUUAUGUUCUUGAAAUUUAAAGAUUUUGGCGGUAUUUUAGUCUAUUUAGAGGAACCUGUUCUAUAAUUGAUAGUCCACGAUUAAUUUUACUUGAUUUAUAUAAAUUUGUAUACCGUCGUUAUAAGAAGAUUUUAAAAGAAUAUAAAUUUUUAAUAUUUUAUAUAAGAAAAUAUAUCAGAUCAAGGUGCAGUUUAUAAUUAAGAAGAAAUGGGUUACAAUAAAUAUAUUUAUUAAACGGAUUAAAGUGAAAUAUAAUUUUAUGAAGGCGGAUUUAAUAGUAAUAAAAUUAAUUUAAAUUUUAUGAUUUUAGCUCUAAAAUAUGU